GCUCGAGUUCCCGCUGCGCUCCGAAGGCUUCAGGGAUAGCCUUUGGAGCGCAGCGGGAAUUCGCAC